UACGAAGGGGGCUAGCGUUGCUCGGAAUCACUGGGCGUAAAGCGCACGUAGGCGGAUUGCUAAGUCAGGGGUGAAAUCCUGGAGCUCAACUCCAGAACUGCCUUUGAUACUGGCGACCUUGAGUCCGGGAGAGGUGAGUGGAACUGCGAGUGUAGAGGUGAAAUUCGUAGAUAUUGGGAAGAACACCGGUGGCGAAGGCGGCUCACUGGCCCGGUACUGACGCUGAGGUGCGAAAGCGUGGGGAGCAAACAGG
rnacentral:rRNA from 1 species